ensembl:lncRNA
GUAAAUAUGAUCCGUUUGCGACACGACGUGUCGGUUUUCCCAGAAACUUGGCACCUGGGCCCCUCGGAGCGGAGCCGGGCGGGGGCGCGGCGGCGGGACUCCAGCCCUUCCGCUCGGCGGCCCCGGGGCUCGGGGGACCCUGAGUUCGGAGAUCCGAGCCGUGGGCGCGGGGGGCCGCUCUCCCAGGACCUUCCGGGCGCUGGGCCGCCUCACCCCCGAGGCCCCGACGCCCUACCGCGGGGGUCGGGAAAGCGUUUCCUCCGCGCCGCCAGCCUGCGCGGGGUCCCGGGCGCGCCAGGGCGCCGCUCCCGGUGCUCCGGGCACCGCCGGCUAGGCGACCGCAGCCGCCACCCUGGGCUCCCUGCCCGGGGCAGGCGGAGGAAGGCGCGGGGAACAAAGCCGAGGCGGUGGGCCGCCCGCCCCGAGCCCCGGGCGUCUGGACUCGCCCCCACGCCACCCCUCCCCAUCGCCCCCCUUACCUGGGUGGAGAGCCCGACAGCCGCCCGGGCCCCCGAUCGGCGACACGGCCGUUCCCCCGGGGUCCCGUGUGCGCGCGGGGCGGCGCCGGCCGAGUUGGAGAAGUUGCCGGGGUCACUUCGUCCACGCGCGGGCGCUCAGCCUCCGGCAGCCGCGACUACCCCUCGCCCCGCGCGCAGCGCCUUUGGUGGCGAGAGGAGCCGCACCUUCCUCCGGGGCCGCUGGGCCCGCCUCCUCCCCGCCCCCGCCGCCCAGCCCAGCCCAGCCCACCCCCCACCAUCUCCCCAGCAAAAGCCCCCACCUCAGCCCCAGGCCGGCGCGCAUCCGCAGCUGCGCCCACCAAACCAGCCCCCCGACCCUCCUUCACCCGCUCCCGCCCCCGUACCUCGCGAUCGCCUACUGCCCUUUCUUUCUAGGACGUCCCCAACUAAUCAACAGCGAGAACUCCGCGAGCUUCGAUGGUGCAGCAUGCAGGAUCUGAGUUCCCUUACCAGGGAUCAAACCCAUACCAUCUGCAGUGGAAGGAUGGAACUGUAACCACCAGACCACCAGGGAAUUCCCUGAUUGUUCUACGUUGAUAAAACUCAUGUUAUUGUAAGUUUGUUUCAUUUUCCAUAACUUAUGAAAUCUGAUAAGCAUAUCUGAAAAUGUAAAAGCAUUUUCUGAAUCAACAUAAAAUAUCAAUUUUAAUGCUUCUAUACCUUAAAGAGGUCCAGUCAAUUCUUGAGUGACAGAUGGUUAUGUAGCCAGCCUUUAUUUUCACUGGAGCCCUCAGCCAAGGAAAUGUGUUUGCUGAACCCAUAAACUUUCCAUGAAAUGCAAGAC